rnacentral:lncRNA from 1 species
UCCAGGUAUCUUGGAUUUCGGCGUGAGAUUACUACUAAUGCUACAUUAGAGCGUUUGGUUUAAUACAGUAAUGUAAUACUAGAUUACAGUGUUUAUAACAUUAAUAUGUUUGGUUCAGUUUAUAAAAUUUAGUAAUCCUGACAUAAAAGUAUAGUUUUUUUCCAAAAUUGCCCUUGUUGUGGUCAUUUGAAUAUUAUUUUUUGCGGAAAUGACGAAUGGAGGGAAGGAGAUCGUGAUGAUUACUUGGGAGGACGACGCAAUAGAAGAUGAUAGGUGUUCGUGCGAGAGAGAGAGAGAGAGAGAGAGAGAGAGAGAGACGUCCAGAGAGAGAGAGCGAGAGAAAGCGGCGUGCGAGAGAGAGGGCCGGGGGGAAGGCGAGAUAGAGAUGGAAAUAAUGCUGUUAAUUAGAUUUGGGGUCGUUGGAGGGUAAAAUUGUCAUUUUACAUAAUAUGUAGUAUUAACGGGUUUCAGUAAUGCAAGAUACACGACCCCCCUCCCGUUAAUAUUUUCGAUGUAAUCCUGCUCGAUUUGUAAUCCUACAUUAACGACUAGAUUACAUAGCGGAUUAACCAAACAUAGUUAUCCUGGCAGGAUUGCCUGUAAUCCUGCCAGGAUAACUCGAACCAAACGCACCCUUA